rnacentral:sRNA from 1 species
GCCAGGCACAUUGGCGCAUGCCUAUAAUCCCAGCAGCUUGGGAGGCUGAGACAGGAGGAUCGUGAGUUCAAAGCCAGCCUCAGCAACUUACCGAGGCACUUAGUAACUCAGUGAGACCCUGUCUCUA